GAUGAAGAACGCAGCGAAAUGCGAUAAGUAAUGUGAAUUGCAGAAUUCAGUGAAUCAUCGAACCUUUGAACGCACAUUGCGCCCGCCAGUAUUCUGGCGGGCAUGCCUGUCUGAGCGUCAUUUCAACCCUCAUACCCCUAGGGCGUGGUGUUGGGGAUCGGCCAAAGCCCGCGAGGGACGGCCGGCCCCUAAAUCUAGUGGCGGACCCGUCGUGGCCUCCUCUGCGAAGUAGUGAUAUUCCGCAUCGGAGAGCGACGAGCCCCUGCCGUUAAACCCCCAACUUUCCAAGGUUGACCUCAGAUCAGGUAGGAAUACCCGCUGAACUUAAGCAUAUCAAUAAGCGGAGGA
rnacentral:misc_RNA from 1 species